rfam:Ovis aries breed Texel chromosome 7, whole genome shotgun sequence.
UGGCUCAGAUGUUAGAGCGUCUGCCUGCAAUGCAGGAGACCCGGGUUCAAUCCCUGG